rnacentral:rRNA from 1 species
GACGUAGGGGGCCAGCGUUGUUCGGAAUUACUGGGUGUAAAGGGUUCGUAGGCGGUGUGGCAAGUUGGGAGUGAAAUCUCUGGGCUCAACCCAGAGGCUGCUUCCAAAACUGCUGUGCUUGAGUGUGGGAGAGGCGCGUGGAAUUGCAGGUGUAGCGGUGAAAUGCGUAGAUAUCUGGAGGAACACCGGUGGCGAAGGCGGCAUCCUGGACCAAUACUGACGCUGAGGAGCGAAAGCCAGGGGAGCAAACGGG